rnacentral:rRNA from 1 species
AUUGAACGCUGGCGGCAUGCUUUACACAUGCAAGUCGAACGGUAACAGGUUAAGCUGACGAGUGGCGAACGGGUGAGUAAUGCAUCGGAACGUGCCCGGUCGUGGGGGAUAACGCAGCGAAAGUUGCGCUAAUAACGCAUACGAUCUGAGGAUGAAAGCGGGGGACCGUAAGGCCUCUCGCGGUCGUAGCCGCCGAGGUCAGAUUAGGUAGUUGGUGGGGUAAAGGCUCACCAAGCCAACGAUCUGUAGAUGGUCUGAGAGGACGACCAGCCACACUGGGACUGAGACAAGGCCCAGACUCCUACGGGAGGCAGCAGUGGGGAAUUUUGGACAAUGGGCGAAAGCCUGAUCCAGCAAUGCCGCGUGCAGGAAGAAGGCCUUCGGGUUGUAAACUGCUUUUGUACGGAGCGAAAAGGUCUCCUCUAAUACAGGGGGCUCAUGACGGUACCGUAAGAAUAAGCACCGGCUAACUACGUGCCAGCCGCCGCGGUAA